CCUACGGGUGGCAGCAGUGAGGAAUAUUGGUCAAUGGACGAGAGUCUGAACCAGCCACGUCGCGUGAAGGAUGACUGCCCUAUGGGUUGUAAACUCUUUUUAUAUGGGAAUAAAAUGUUCCACGUGUGGGAUUUUGUAUGUACCAUAUCAAUAAGGAUCGGCUAACUCCGUGCCAGCAGUCGCGGUAAUACGGAGGAUCCGAGCGUUAUCCGGAUUUAUUGGGUUUAAAGGGAGCGUAGGUGGAUUGUUAAGUCAGUUGUGAAAUUUUGUGGCUCAACCGUAAAAUUGCAGUUGAAACUGGCAGUCUUGAGUGCAGGAGAGGUGAGCGGAAUUCGUGGUGUAGCGGUGAAAUGCGUAGAUAUCACGAGGAACUCCAGUUGCGAAGGCAGUUCACUGGACUGCAACUGACGCUGAGGCGCGAAAGUGUGGGUAGCAAACAGGAUUAGAUACCCGUGUAGUC
rnacentral:rRNA from 1 species